GUCCGAUAAAACUCCAGCAUGUUAAUCUCUGCCUCAGAGUCACCUAACCUGCAACAUCCCUCGUAUCCUGCUGAGCAUGGGUUCAAGUGAUUCUGCCGUGAAGCAUUGCUUAGAAUCUGUCCUAGAUUUGUCUUCUAAACUCAGCACCAAAAGCUAUGUGAACUUGAGAACUUUAAUUUUGCUGGGGUCAUCAAUGUGGCAAACUAAAAAGUACACUUUCCAGCACUCCUUCCAGAUGGGAGACCGUGCUACAUCGUUGUGGCAAGAGAGAUGUAAGUAGAAAGGCUGGAUGGAUGAAGCAGCCAAGAAAACUUUUAAAAGGGAAAUAGAUUCACAAGAAAUAUACCCUUUUAUUCUGACCUAUUUGUUUUCCUGACUGGGAAAGUCAUGCGAUACUCGAGAUAGAGAAUUUUGCAACAAGGCAACCACGUGAAACAGGACAAGAGAUUAAUAGAGACUUUGCCUCUAAUACCAUUGAGCCCCUGAAUCAAUGUCUGCAAGCACCAAACUCUAGACCCCAGACUUUCCAUAAUGGGAAGAAAGUAAAACCUUCAUUUUGUUGAAGGCAUUAUUUUUUGGUGUUUCUAUCAUUACGGAGAAAAGCAUUACCAGCUGAUAUUCCACUGACUAAGCCAAACGUACAGGUAUCCUCCAUCGAUAUUUCUUGUUAUGAGAGACAGUAGGUCUUCACGAACUUUAAGCAAAUUGAAGUCUGAAUGUUAUUUUAGUGACAGAUAAAAAGUACCCUAAAUGACAUAUUCUCUUAAAAGCUAUCAAAAACGUACAGGGGUAGGACACUAAAUUGUUUUAGACUAUCAUCUGUUAGAUUUUCUGUAUAUAUAUAUGUGUAUAUCAAUGGCUUCUAAUCAAAUGUGGUCAGGGAAAGCAGAUAAACCAGUAUGUUGAUACUUCAUAGCAUUUAUUUCAGCUUUUUAAUAUUUCCCUUGUAAAGUAAAGUAUCUCUUGGGUUUUUUUCUCAUCUUUUUUGAAAAUUAAUAAGACUUUAAUUUUUAGAGAAAGUUUAGGUUUACAAAAAAAUGAGCAGAUAAUAAAGAGAUUUCCCGUAUGCUCCCUCUCUCCCCUGCUCGCAGUUCCCCCUGUUAUCAAUACCCUGAAUUACUGUGCUAUAUUUGUUACAAUUGAUGAACCAAUAUUGAUAUGUUAUUAUUAGCUAAAGUCCAUAGUUUACAGUAGGGUUUAUUCCUUGGGUACAAUUCAAUGGGUUUUGACAAAUGCUUAAUAUCAUGCAUUCACUAUUGCAGUGUCAUACAGAAUAAUUCCACUGCCCUAAAAAUACCCUUUACUCCAGCUAUUCAUCGCUCUCCUCCUCCUCCAGACCCCUGGCAACCACUGAUCAUUUGACUAUUGCUACAGUUUUGCCUUUUCCAGAAUGCCAUAUAGUUGGAUUCAUACAGCAUGUAGCC
rnacentral:lncRNA from 1 species